rnacentral:rRNA from 1 species
AUUGAACGCUGGCGGCAGGCCUAACACAUGCAAGUCGAGGGGUAACUAGAGUGAUAGCAAUAUUACUUUGGCUAGACCGGCGCACGGGUGCGUAACACGUAUGCAACCUACCUUAUACUGGGGAAUAACUUCGAGAAAUCGGCGCUAAUACCCCAUAACAUUGCGAAGAGGCAUCUCUUUGCAAUUAAAGCUCCGGCGGUAUAAGAUGGGCAUGCGUCCAAUUAGCUAGUUGGCGAGGUAACGGCUCACCAAGGCUACGAUUGGUAGGGGUUCGGAGAGGAUGAUCCCCCACACUGGUACUGAGACACGGACCAGACUCCUACGGGAGGCAGCAGUGAGGAAUAUUGCGCAAUGGACGAAAGUCUGACGCAGCCAUGCCGCGUGCAGGAUGACGGCCCUAUGGGUUGUAAACUGCUUUUGUACGGGAAUAAACCCUUCUACGUGUAGGAGGCUGAAGGUACCGUAAGAAUAAGCACCGGCUAACUCCGUGCCAGCCGCCGCCGUAA